rnacentral:rRNA from 1 species
CCUACGGGGAGCAGCAGUGAGGAAUAUUGGUCAAUGGUCGGGAGACUGAACCAGCCAAGCCGCGUGAGGGAUGAAGGUACAGAGUAUCGUAAACCUCUUUUGUCAGGGAACAAAGGCGGGGACGUGUCCCCGGAUGAGUGUACCUGAAGAAAAAGCAUCGGCUAACUCCGUGCCAGAAGCCGCGGGAAUACGGAGGAUGCGAGCGGUAUCCGGAUUUAGUGGGGUUAAAGGGUGCGCAGGCGGCGGUGCAAGACAGCGGUCCAAUCUCGGGGCUCAACCCCGUACUGCCGUUGAAACCGCAUCCCGUGAGUGCGCGAGAAGUAUGCGGAAUGCGUGGUGUAGCGGUGAAAUGCAUAGAUAUCACGCAGAACUCCGAUUGCGAAGGCAGCAUACCGGCGCGCAACUGACGCUCAUGCACGAAAGCGUGGGUAUCGAACAGGAUUAGAUACCCCAGUAGUC